UGUUGCUCCAUUCUCGGCUUUGUCGUUUAUUGUUUGACCGUGUUUUUUUGUGCUUCAAUUUUCUCAUCUGUAAGAUCAGAGUUUCACAAGAUGCUUUCUGAUCAUCUCUAUAGACUGUGAUGCCAAUUAAUGAUGUGUCAAUAUGAAACGAACCGCCUAUGGAAGUAUUGAGUUGCCGUUUACGUAUUAGACUGAAAAACUUAUGAGACUGGAUGAUCCUUUCUCCCCUCCCCACUGGGGAGAUGUAGAGAACUUCUGAAGGGGAGUGAGGUUGGGUUAGCUGACCACCUAGACUCCUCUGUAAAACUAUGAAAUCACAUUGCACCUGUGACGCUUCCUUAUUCGCCUUCCCCAAAGAAGGGUAACAAUAACCACCUAGUUAAAAGGGAAUUGUAAAACACUAUUUACUAGCUCAAAUGACUAAAGAAACAAUGAUAGGAAAGAUGAAGGUGGAUUAAUUUGUCAUAUAUCGGAAAGCUGAGCUGUUCUUCACAUAUUCAUCCAGUCGGCCUUGUAGAAGAGGUCACAAAACAUGCAGCCUAUGAGACUUUUGAAGUAGGCAGUAUCUUCAAAUAAGGAAAAUGAAGAGCUCAUCUAAUGCGUGACAGACUAAAAAUGACUUAUGGGAAUGAUCUUGGGCCUGGGAAGGAUUGAACAAAAGAUUAUUUGCAGGGAAUAGAAAACCAAGAUAAGUGAGAACUACUAUCGAUAUUUUCCUCAUCAAGUUUGCUGUCAAGCCUUGAUGUAUUCUAGGGUAAUAAAAGAACUGGAAUAAUGAACUGGAGGAAUUCCAUGUGAACUGGAAUGACUUCCAGGAAUUGAUGCAGAGUGAAAGGAGCAGAACCAGAAUAUUGUACACAGAGAUGGAUACACAGUGGCACAAUAAAAUGUAAUGGAUGUAUCUGGUAGGUAUGAGAAGCCUGAAACACAAAAUAUAAAGAAAUUAAGAUAACUAGGAGUAAGAACAUGUCAGCAGUAUGAUCUCUACUAGCAGCAAUGCAAUGAUCCAGGACAAUUCUGAGGGACUUGUGAGAAAGAACGCUAUCCACAUUCAGAGAAAGAACUGUGGGUGUAGAAACACAGAAGGAAAAACAACUGCUUAAUCAUAUGGGUUGAUGAGGAUAUGACUGGGGAUGUAGAUGCUAAACUAUCACCCUAGUGUAAAUAUUAAUAAUAUGGAAAUAGGUCUUGAUCAAUGACACAUGUAAAACCCAGUGGAAUUGCACACCAGCUACAGGAGGGAGUUGGGGGGAGGGGAGGGAAAGAAAAUGAAUCUUGUAACCAUGGAAAAAUAUUCUAAAUUAACUAAUUAAAUAAAAUUCUCCCCAAAAACAAGAAAACAAACAAAUAAAUAAAAACCAGAGUAAAAAAAAGAAAUCCACAGAAUUAAACUUUUCUACCUGAUCAAAAUUAUGGUAGGUAUAAAAUACUCAACCCCUUGGUCAUUCUCCUGUCUUUUUCAAGGAGUUCAGCUCUUGGCUUACAAUCUUUCUUUCCUUCUCAAAUCUUGACCUUAUACUAGGAGACUUUUAUCAUUCAUGUAGAUGUUCUUUUAAAUUUCCUAACCUCCAAUUUCAUAGAUCUCCUGAAGUUCUUUGAUCCCUCUCUUCAUUCUACUUCAGCCACACAUAUUGACACACUAGAUCUUGCCCUUACCUACAAGUGUUUGUUCUACUUCCUUGAUUAGAAAUUCUGAUGUUCCCCAUGUAAACUAUCACCUCCUCUUAUUCCAAUUUUCUUUAAGUUUAGCUCUUCUUAGACUUGUUCUUUGCUCUUCAGACCCUUGUUCUCCUCUGUACAUUUUUCAGCUAUAACCUCUGGCCUGAAUUCAUUUUCCUUUCUUCAACUUCAGUCCAGUAAAUGGCCAUGUCCAUUCUAUUUUCUUCUCUUGAAUCCUUGCUUCCUUGUCCUAUCCUGCUUUUCUUUUGUUAAACUUCAGCUUCAGAUUAUUCCCACCAUCUACAUCCUCUAUUCCCAAUCUGUUUAACAGAAAAUUGCUUAACAAAACUAGAGGGAAUCCCACAACCAUUCUGAUUGGGAUUUCUAACCCCAAAUUAGAUUCUCACUGCAGCAAGACAGUCCUUUUGUUUCUCCGUAAUAAAUUACCUAUCUCACUUCCCACAGUAGCUCUUUUAAACCAUUUUUCCCCUCCUGAAGCUCCCCAUAUCUCCUUCCCCUUCUCUGAGCUAUGAACUUUUGCACUAUUCAAGGUAUACUCCCUCUUCUUCCAUUCUCAUCAUUUCAGAAAUUUUUUACAUCAUCUCCCACUAAUGACCUUCUUUCCCAGUUUCUGACAAAGAGGUGGCUCUUCUCCUUGCCAAGACCAACCCAUGUAUUUCUUUGAUCCCAUCCAUUCUCGUCUUCUCUGGCAGAUUGCAACUUCAGUCUUCCACACUCUUUCUCAAAUUGUCAACCUCUCCCUUUCAGUUAUUUCACUUUUUUCUACCUUCAAAAAUACCCAUCUCCCUGUCCUUAAAAUUUCUUUACUAGAUCCUUCCAUCCCUGUAAGUUAUUUGAUAUCUCUCUUUAGACAAACUCCUCAAAAAAUAGGUCUACACUCACUGUUUUUACUUCCUUUGUCGACUCACUCUUCAACCCCUUGUAUUCUGGUUUUCAACCUAAUCGCUCCAUUGAAAUUGUUCUUUCCUAAAUUACCAAAGCACUUAAUUGUCAAACAUCAUACUCUUUCCUCAGUGCUAAUUUUUCUCACUGUGUUUGCUACAUUUGAUACCUUUGACCCUUUUUCUUCCUGGACACUCUUUCUUUUUUGGUACUUUUGUGAUACUACUCUCUCAGUGCUCACCUCCUACCUUUCUGGCCAUUCCUUCUCAGUAUCUUUUGCUUACCUUCAUCUAGUUCAUUACCUCUGAGUGUUGGUGUUACCUGUAGUUCUGUCCUUGGACCCUCUUCUCUCUUGGUGAUCUCAUCAUCUUCCACGGAUUUAACUGUCAUUUCUAUGCACAAGACUCUCAGAUCUACAUUUCUCUCUAAUUUCUUUUUCUCUCCUUCUCCUAAUUUCAGUUCUAUCUCACUGACUGCAUGGUGGAUUAUUUCAAAAUAGGUGUCCUGGAGAUAAUGAAUUAUUUUUUUAAACCCUUACCUUUCUGUCUUGGAGUCAAUACUGUGUAUUGCCUCCAAGGCAGAAGAGUGGUAAGGGCUAAGCAAUGGGGGUCAAGUGACUUGCCCAGUGUCACACAGCUGGGAAGUGUCUGAGGCCAGAUUUGAACCUAGGACCUCCCAUCUCUAGGCCUGGCUCUCAACCACUGAGCACCCAGCUGCCCCUAAAGCUUCCCCUUUUUUAAACUUCCCUAUUUCUGUUGAAGAGUAUCUUGAUAUUAUUCCCAAUUCUUCACUCUCAUUCACUAUAUAUGGCUAUUGAGAUGUAAAAUCUUUCCAUUUUUUAACUUCACAACAUCUUUUAGAGUCAACUCUGUUAACACAACUACCAAUCUAGUUCAGACACUCAUCUCUUCUCAACUAGAUUAUUACAACAACCUCCUAAUUAGUCUUCCUGCUUCAAAUCUACCAUAUUCCAGUCUAUCCAACACACAGCUGCCAAAGUAAUUUUCUUAUAACCCUCCUCUAUUAACUCCAGUGGCUUCCUAUUACUGCUAGUGUAAAGUACAAAUUAUGUUUACUUUUUAAAGUUUUACACAAUCUUAUAUGAACAAGGCACUUUGACUUUCCUUAGGCUGAUCAGAGUUAUCAAUUCUCUUGUACCCUGGGGCCAUUAUUAAUAACUAAAUAGCAUUAGUAAAACAAAGAGACGUACUGCACUGGUGAGGACAUGAUUUGUUACAAGGGAGAACUGUAAGGGAAAAAUUAGGGGUUAUUGACUGAAUAUAUUAUACUAGUGGUAACUAGGGAUUCAAUCCCAAUAAAAUACUCAAGCCAGUUUGGGAUUUCUAUGGUGGUUUAAUUACAAUAGAGGGAAGAAAUUAAGAAGAGAGAGAGAAAAGGAAUUUGGACUGUUCUGGCAAGCCAGAUAGGAGUUCAGAGGUGUAGGCCAAGGGGCCUUCUCAAUCUAGCUUGGCUUCCAGCCACCAGGCCUCCUUUGAGAUGAGGGACCUCUGUAAUAAGGGACAAUUUUGAUUGGUAAUUGAUAACUAAAGAUCAGGUUGUUACCUACUUUCUUCCUCCCUUUUCUUCCCUUCAGCCUCCCUUUUCCUCCCCUCCCCCCUCCGUCUUCUUCUUUCUUCUAAAUCAACUUUGGGUGAGUUUAUGAGGUCUCAAAUGAAAUACUCUUUCUCUUAUUUAUCUUAAAUAAGGGGUUUAUUUGAGGAAGACAGGAAAGGAUAAGAAAUGGAGGUAAGAGGGUUAGGUAUUUCCCUAUUACUACAAUGAGUCUUAGGUUGGAGGAUGGUGAAAUAUAAUUCAAUUGAGAGAAAUGGCUGAUAGGACUGGAAGUUCAGUCAGUAUCACAACAGAGCAAAUCAAGAGAGAGAGAGAGAGAGAGAGAGAGAGAGAGAGAGAGAGAGAGAGAGAGAGAGAGAGAGAGAACUGGACUUUGUCCUUCUUUCUUCUGUCUUCAAAGCCAAAAGACAACCUGUCCUUUCUGUCUUCAAGGUUAAAGACAUAACCCUUCAGUUGGUCUAUUCCUUUCUUCAACUGCUUCUCCCAGUAACAUUUCAAAAAGAACAUUCUCAUUUGAAUGACAGGUCAUCAGUCUCAGAUACUCCUGUCUUGUUGCAUGCUUUCCCACUUUCUCUCUUCCAUGCCUCCUAGGAGGAUAGUGUUUUAGGAAGUAAAGGAAAAAAGGAAUCAGCCUAAUCCAUUCACCAAGCUCAUUAAGGACCCUGCUAUGAACUCCCAAUGCUGAAAGAGCCAAACAUCUCCAUGAGAGAGGCUUUCCUCCAGAAAGAGGAAGUGACAUGAAAUAUAUAGACUGUUCUUUACAUCACUUCCUAUGUCACACAUGUACCAAUGGUAACUUAAGCUUGACUUAGGGCAGUCCAGGGGGUCUGCCAGUUGUUUCUGAUUUGUCACUUGCUAGCACAUGUGGUCAUAGGCCAACUUCCUCAAUACUUAAUCCUUAAGUAGGGGUGUAUACAUUCCUGGUUGCUAGGAUUUUAAAGACUAAUCAGGGUGGAGAAAAUCUAAAAUUCACAGAACUCCAGACAAAGACUGAUGUGGUAGUUAUUGUUUGGUACAAAAUAAUUUAAUGACUCACACUAAUACUUCUCAGAGCAAGAAUGAACGUGAUUGGGUGAACUGCUGCAAAACUUCAUGCUGUUUGGGGAAAUGGUGUGGAUUUAGUGCAUAACUAAAUUUUUAAAUUUUACAUAUUUUUCUGCCUUUAUUUUUUUUUAAAUUGCCAGUUGUGCAUACAGGAAUUCGAAUGUGUUGAGUUCAUGUAAAACAAGGUCCUACUGUGUGUGUACAUAUACACACAUGUGUAUAUAUAUAAUUAUUAAUUUUAUAUUAUUGAUAUUUUAUACAUACUUACUAUUUUUCCUAUUAGAAUAUAAUUCCAUAAUGAUUGUUUCAUUCUGUACCUGUAUCUUCAGCAUCUAGCACAGUGUCAGCAUAUAGUAGCUACUAAAAAAUGUCUGUGAUUGAUUGAUUCAUAUUCCUGUUGCUUAGGAAGUAUGAUGAAGGGUUGAAGAACAUACCAUAUGAAUUGGUUGAAGAAACUAGGGAUGUUGAUCUUGGUGAAGAGAAGACUUAAGGAGAAACUUGAUAUUAUGUGGGAAAGGGAUUAAAUUUGUUAUCCUUCAUAACAGUGGAUAUCUGCAGAGGCAUAUUUAGGCUUGAUAUAAGAGAAACUGCUAAGCAAUUUGAGCUAUCCAAAAAUGGAAUGGGCUCCUUCAGUAGGUACUAGGGCUCUCUCUCAGUAGUGGUAGGUCUUUUGGCAGAGAUUUGGGUUACCAUUUUUUGGGAAUGCUGAAGUAGGGAUUAUUGUUCAAAUCUGUAUUGACCUCUAGAUAGUGGGUGUAGAAAAUUCUGAGGAGCCUUCCAGUUCAGAAAUCCUGUAAUUCCAUAGGUGCUAAACUAAAUAGGGGAGUGGACCUGAAGUCAUAUAAAAGGAAGAAAAUCAAUUAGUGGGAUUAAGUUUGUUUAAUCUGGAGAAGAGAAAGCCUAGGGUUGAGUUCCUAUUCCUUGAAGAUAUUUAAGUUGAGACUGAAUGACCAUUGAUCAGGGGUAUUGCAGAAGGAUUCCUGCUUAUUAUCGUUUUGAAGAGAGCUUUCAGAGCUUCCUUUCACCUCAGAUUCUGUGCUUUUAAGACUUGGCUUUCAAGUGGAAGGAAUCUUGGCUUAUAUAUUAGAAAUCAACAUUUAUUCUUUUGCAGUCUUAUUGUACUAGGCAUUGACAGAAAGUUAAAUUGAAGUCUGAUUUGAUGGAUUACAAUAGGUCUCUCUAGGGAUAAUUUAAAGCCUUCUUAAAAGUCCUAGUGAGAAACUUGCCAAGACUGUGAGGACGAUAGUGCCUAAAGAAAAACACACAUCACACAGUUAGGUCAAAAUUGGAAUUGUAACCAGAUUUAAAACUCCCUCAGAAUGAAUGAUGGUGCUUUCAAUUUAGCUGUCCUGUGCAAUGCCAUAAAUUGGAUUUGCUAUAGUUUUAUGCUUUUUGGGAUUCCUCUUAAUUCUAGAGCCUUUUAUGUUGAUUAUUUCCAGUUUUUCCCUGUGUAUAUAACUAGUUUAUCCCAACUCAUUUGCUUGUUGUCUGUCCCAGCUCCUGAAGAGAGCUUAUCUUUGACUCUUUCUUUUUAUCUUAGUAUAGUGUAUAACACAUAGUAUACACUUAAAUAAUUUUUUAUUGGAUGAUUAACUUACCAUAUCAACAGUGUUCCAUCUGUUACUUCAAAAAAGAUUGCUUUUUAUUUUUAACUUCUUUUUAUGGCCCUGGAAUUUGACUGAAGAUCACACACAUGAGAGUGAAAGAAAGAGACAGAGAGAGACACAGAGAGAAUGAGAAUAAAUCUUCAAGUAAAUUCAUCAUAAUGGAUCCAACCAACCUUUCCUUGGUUCUCAAAGGUGGUACCUACUCUUCUAUUUAGGCUAGCCAUUACUUACCUCAUUCUUCCUAUUCCUACUGGCCCACUUCCAUUGUUCACAGGUAAAUAUUACAUAUAAACUUCCAGACUUCAUUCUCCAUCUUCCAUUUUAACCCUGCUAGUUUAUCCUCCCUUCAAUUUAGAGCCUGUGAGGGAGGGGUUAGGUGAUUUGCUUAGUUAGCAUCACAGAGCCAGUAUGUAUAUGAAGGAAGCCUGGAAACCCAGAUUGUCCUGGCUUUGAAGACUAUUCUCUUUCUGUCUCUUAUGCCCCAUUGCCAUUCACUAAAAGUAUUCUUUAUGUGUAUAUAUGUGUGUGUGUGUGUGUGUGUGUGUGAUUCAACACAUCUUUUGAGUGCUACAUUCAAGUGUUUUGUGCACUGUAGGGGAUUCAAAGAAGAAUGAAAUAUGGUGAAAUAAUUAUCGGAGAGGUGAAAUGUGAAAGUUCAAUAAGAGUGAUACAAAAUAAAAAAUGCUUUGUAUGCUCAUGUAUGUAUGGGGAUGUAAAAAUGGAGAUUUUGAACCCUAGACUUAAAUCCCCAGAAGUCCUUGGUAUUUCCCAGAAUUCCCUAUAAUCUCACCUGAGUCUCCACGUAGGCAGGAUCACAAUUGGUAUUUAACUGGCAGUAAAGCCUCCCACAUGCUCUGCUCUUCAAGUGCAAUGAUGUAAGAAGUUAGUGGUAAGCUAAGCGCUGGGAUUCUGAAUUGACUAAUCAGCCAUGGGCACAUGGUUUUUAUUUUGUAUCUUCUUUAUUCCUUGAUUUCUAAUAACCCUUAAUGAACCUCAUAAAAUAUAAUAUUUUAUUACUAGAUACUAAUUUAAUUUUUACAGGGACCAGGGAUCCCUCUGUCCCAAAGAAUGAAGAAAGUGGGCUUCCCUGAGCCCAAAGCCUCAAAGGAAUUAACUUAACAAGUUAUCCUUUUACUUUUCCCUCAUCCCCAAAAUGUUUACAGGUUCUCCCUGGGAUCUGGGGCUGGGCCAGCUGUUGUCAUUACCACCUUUGAUUGCCAGGGUCCAAAUGCUUCCUUUUCUGUCCUGUCUGGGCCUGUCUCUCUGAAAUUUUAGCCAUAUGAUGCUAGAUAGGUGCUUUUCCUAAGGUAACUAAAAGAUGGAUUUAAAAGUUUGUAGUUUCUGAUUGAUUUGAUUGGUAUAGCUCAGGGGAUGUCUUAGAACCAGUUUCUUACCUUUACUUUAGCCUCUUUGGUUGACCUUGGUAUCCUCAAAAUUUUUUUCUUAGCCAUUGUUCUAAGCUCUUGUCGAGGCCAAGUGUCUCUAGAAAUCUGCCUCCUUGGAAGUUUUACUUUGGAUAUUUCCGUAUCAUGCUACUUCCCUUCACCUGUCUCCUCCUCUUCUGUUCCAGAAGCCCCAGAUUCCCUCUUAGACCUCCCUGCCUAAAGAAAGCCCUUUGCUUUCAUACGUGCCCUGAGUUAGCAUGUCACAUAGUUCCCACCCUUACAUCAAUAGCUCUACCCACCUCCUAGGAGACUUUCUGGUAUUACAUCAGCCUGGGUUGAUGGAACCCAAGAAACUGGGGCUAACUAUCUGCCAAAGGGUCUUCCAAAUCUUGUCAUUUCUGCUUUAUCACAAAAAAUAUUUUCAACAUAUAUCCUGGGUUAUAAAAAGUUUCUAAUAAAAAAGGAAAAUCUUAUUUUGCUUCAGGUGCAUUCAGAUGUUACAUGGGGGUCAGAACUGGAGCUCUGGAUUUAUAUAGAACAGGUUUAAUCUUUAGAUCCUCUCCCACAUCUUAUUUUAGCUCAUUCUUCAUUUAGCAUUCCUUUGGGGAACAUCUAGAUCUUGACAAAAAGAGAAAGGCCCUCUGAUUUUGUGCAAGUACUAGAUUAAUAAAUAUAUCUAAUAUAGGACAGGUUUUAUUAACUUGAUAAGCACAAAACAGAAAGAAUCAUACUUAAGUUUGUGAUUUGUCAAAACAAUUCUCCAUUCUUCUCUGGGAGGUCUCUACCUUCCUUAGGGGACUUAAUAUACCCCUACUCUGAGGUUGAAUGCCUCUACAAAGGGAGAACACUCAGAGCUGUGAGAGAAUCAGGCAUCUUUAUUCAUUUUGUGAGCCUCCACCUUCCCUAGCCACUUAUGUACAAUCCUUCAUUUAUAUAGGAAAUACUCAAGAACUGAGGUUGUCCCACCAGGGGAAAGUCCCUAGAGAAUCAACCCUUUUCCCACAGACCUGUACAGUUUAUGAUUCAGACUAUCAUUUGAGGACACGUGUACUCUUUUCUAUCUUGGUUCUGUCCCUUGCUGCUCUUUGACUCCAGUUUGCCUCAGUUCAGGAACUCUUCCAACUGGUCCAGGCACUCACCACCACGGGAACUUAUUGCCAAUUACUGCCAGUGAAUAUUUCCUGCCUAUAAUCCAAAGUUUUCCGACAUCAUAAUGCAAAAGUAUUUCUGUGAUACUUUGACAAAAUUAACAGAGUUUGUCUUGUCUUGUUAAUAAGAAGGAUCAUAAAAUGUUAAAUUCUUGAAAAAGCACUAACUCUGUUGUUUUAUUUAUAUAUACAUAUAUAUAUGACUUGAAUUUACUACUUAGUCUCUCUAAGCUUCAGUUUCCUUAGCUACAGAAUAAGUAUGAUAUUGCAGAUAAUCUGCUUUACUUAGUUGUGUGUAUCAAAUGAGGUGCCAGAUAUAAAAUACUUUCUUUUUAUUUUUUAAUUAAAAAGUUUGUUACAUUAAAAUUCCUAGUUACCUCCUAACUUCUCUCCCAUCCCCACAAUAGAGAAGACAUUAUUUGACUAUAUAUAUUAUAUAUAUAUAUAUAUAUAUACACACACAUAUAUGGUUCUUUUAAUUUCAUUCUUCAUAAUUUCAUGUAGGACUUUUCAUAUUUAAAAAAAAUUAACCUCUUGUCAUUUCUUAUGGCACAGGAGUAUUCUAUCCCAAUCAUAUGCCACAGCUUGUUCAGCCAUUUCUCAAUUUAUGGGUUAACCCCCUCAAUUUCUAGCUCUUUGCUACUACAAAGUGAACUGCUAUAAAUAUUUAAAAAUAUAUAGGUUGUUUUCCUUUUUCUCUGAUCACCUUAGAAAACAAACUUAAUAGUGGCAUUGCUGGAUCAAAAACUCUUUGGACAUAAGCCCAGAUUGUGCUCCAAAAUGCUUGGAUCAGUUAGUUCAUUGUUGGUAGAACUGUAAAAUGCUUUAUAGAUUAUAAAAUGAUAUAUUCAUAUACAUAUAGCAGCUUAUGGAAAGAGCCCUGAAUUUAGAAUUUGAGGACCUGAAUUUGAAUCUUAGAUCUGGUGCUUAUUUCUUGCCACUUUGGCAGAUCCCUUCCCUUCUCUCAGCCUCAGUUUCCAUAUGUGUAGUUCUAAAUCCCAUUAAUAAUUCAAAUAAUACAAAAAAGUCAGAAAAUAAAAUCAGUAUCUGGUAACACAAGAUACAAGGAGAGACCAGAAUAAGGCAAGAAUCCCAGGGAAGGGGGAGAGAAAGGAGAAAAGGAGAGAAUUUGGAGCUCAAAAUUUCAAAAAGUGAAUGCUAAAAUUUUUUUUCAUGUAAAUUGGGUGGUGGGAAAGAAUCUAGAUAGAAAGGUAGGGUAUAGAAGACAGAGAAAGCCUCUAGGACUUCCUGGAAGAAGCUGAGGACCAUACUUGUAGUUUACCAACCCCAGAUCAGAAUGUUUGGUCUUACAAAGACUCUUUAAAGUUGAAGCUGCCCCAGAAAUUCUGGAACCAGAUGCAUGAUUGCCGGACAGAAUCCCUCUCUCCAGCACUGUUAGCAACCUUCCCUUAGAACCAUUCCUUUUUGACUUCUCUAUUUUUCUCUUCUUCCAUCCAACCACCUAGUCAUACUUUAGGGUAGGCUUUACAGUAGGUUCCCCCUUGCCUUGCCAUCUGUUUAAUGAUAUCUAAAAUUUUUUCAAUGGCAAUGAAGUCAUUCAGUGCAGAGAAGAAGAUGGACAAAAACUUCCCAGCAAAUGGGGAGUGAUGAAGUAUUCUGACCAGAGAUUUCUUGUCUGUUUUUAAAUUGGAUAUAGUGAUCACUUAUGCAAACUAGGCCAUCAGUCCUGGAGCUGAACAAAGUAGCCAACUAGUGCUUAAUGAUUAUUCAUAUUUGAGGAGAUUAGUUGGGCCUAAAGCUCACAAUUUCUACAGGAUACUGUCUUCUAUUUCUUUCUUUCUUUUUUUUUUUUAAACCCUUACCCUCUAUCUUGGAAUCAAUACUGGGUAUUGGUUCCAAGGUAGAAGAGUGGUAAGGGCUAGGCAAUGGGGGUUAAGUGACUUGCCCAGGGUCACACAGCUGGGAAGAGUCUGAGGCCAGAUUUGAACCUAGGAUCUCCAUCGUCAUCUCCCAUCUGGUUCUCAAUCCACUGAGCUACCCAGCUGCCCCUCUGUCUUCUAUUUCUCUAUGACUAGGAGACUCAUUGUGACAUUCCCAAGCUAAAACUUCAUAUUCCAUUUAAAUUUCUGCAAGGAUCCAAAUGUUUACUUCAUUGGUACCAGGCUAUAGUUAAAUAUCAUCUAAUUUUAGUGAAAUAGGUGUUUCUUUUAGCAAUGCAAAUGGUAUUACUUCUGUACCUCAGUAGAUCUGUUUUGUGAGUUGUGGCCAAAAAAUACAUUACUUGGGCAACCUAUUGUUAAUCAGUUUCUUUUCACCCAGAUAGGCACUUGAUCACUCAACUCUCUGCCAUUGGUUCCAUUCUCCAAUCUUUUCUAGUUUAAUACAUGGUCAGUUUCUCAAUGAAGGAUCAAGUUCUUAGUUUCUCAAAAUAGAUUCAUGACUGUUAUCACUUCUUCUGCCUUAGCUGUGCUGAGUCUUGGAAGGAAAUAGCAUUACCAGACCUCCCAGAACAUUCAAAUACAUCUCACUACUGUAACUGCAGUCUGGUGUGCCUUCAGUAAUAUAACAAGUGGUGUAACUGAGCUAAUAACAGAGCUGGUAUAAAAAAGCAGAAAGGUGAAGUCAUUCAAGCUACAAUCAUUUAUCAAACAUCUUUGUUUUUAGUUGAGUAAGAAAGGCUCAAAGAGAGCAGGGGAAGGGAAGAAACUCAAGUUCUGUUGUAGAGUUUUUCUCAACUCAGAAAAAUGCAUUUUUCCCCCCUUUUAAGACUGGGAACCUUUUGAAGGUAUGGCCUCUGUCCUCUAUGUCUUCCAUAGCACUUUGUUCAACUGCUAGCAACUUAAAUAGGUAUAUAUGUAUGCUUCCUCUAGCAGGUGCUUUCUAGUAGGGAUGGGAUUUUAGGUCAUCUUCUUUGGCUCUGGGCUAUGCUUCUCUAUUGUUGAUUAUACUUCCUUCUCUGCAUCUAUUACCUUAAUUGACCAUUACCCUAAUUCAAGUCCUAAUCACCUCAUGCAUGAAUAAUAGCCUUCUAAUUGGUCUCUCAUGCUCUUCUGUCAAUCUGUUUUCUAUACAAGUGCUAAAAUAAUAUCCCUAAGGUACAGUUCUAAUCAUGUAAUUCCCCAGCUCUAAAACCUAAACAACUAGGACAAAGGUUCUUUACAUUUCUGAGUAUACCUUAUAAAGUUUUUGAUAAUUUGGUGAAAUCUAUGGACCCCUUCUCAGAAAAUGAUGUUUUAAAAUACAUAGAAUAACAUAGGGUAGCAAAGGAAAAAAAUCAUAUUGAAAUGAAGUUACCAAAAUAUUUUUAAAAAAUAAGUCUACAGACUCUUAAAAAUCUCAUUUUGUGGUAACUUAUAAACUUCAUCAGACAGGCAUUUAGGACUUGCAUAGACUGGCUUUUUUCUACUUUUCUAGCCUGAUUUUAUACUAUUUUCCUUCAUAAGUUCAAACCAUUUUGGUACUAGUAUUAUUAGCAUGGGCAUCCAGUAUGUUUAAGUUCUAUUGCAGCUCAUAACAACCAAACUCAUAAUGGUUUACCAUUCUCAGCUUCUCCAGCAUUAGAGACAAUAUAAGUAUGCCAUUAUAUUUGGUAGCUUUCUGGUGACUACUGAAUGGGAACAAAAAGGAGUUUAUAUACUGAUAGCCUUGAUAUGCCUAAGUCCCCUUCCCCCUCUUUCCCUAUUAGCUUUCCCCUUUCCCCUGCACCUGUUGAAACUGCAAAACAAAAGCAGCUGUUCCUCUUGCUAGAAUAUUAUUACUUUCCAUGCUGUCACCUGUCAAAUUCAUGAUGGAUUGAUGAUCUGAAUUUAUACUGCCUGUACUAUGCUAAGAACUAUACAGUCAUGGGAACCAGCUGCCCUCCAUCCUGAAAUGACCAAUGAGAUUAUUCCCAGAUUUCCUAAUCCCUAUACCCCUAAUUUAACCAAAUCCAUAAAAAUCUAUGUUUCCCCCUGCCCAAUUGAGGUCCUUUGCUAGCUCUCUUCACUUUGGGUUUCCCCUUUUGACUUUGCUGCACCUAAUAAAUCUUGCUGAAUCACCCAGUAGUCUCAUAUUGUCUCUUGUGUUGGACCCCUGUCAACCAGGACUGACACAUAUUUCUCUGACCUCCAUAGUAACUUUACCAAAAUUAACAUAAGGAAUAAAAACUUAAAAAAUUUUAAAUGCAGAAAAUCAGAAAUUACUAAACACAUCCUUUAUUGACUACUUUAUGGCAAAAGGUAUUCAAUAAAAGGCCUUUAAAGAAAGAAUUAAACUUAAUUCUAAAUAACUAAAUUAAAUCUUUAAAAAAUGGUGGAUCAAAGAAUAAUCAUAGAACAACAGAAAAAUUUUGUUAAUGACAAUUAACUAACAUACCAAAUGAGGCAACAUACCAAAUUUAUGGGAUAAAGCAAAAGCAAUCCUUAUGGGAAAAUUUCUAUCACUAAGUGUUUUAUCUAAAGAAAAUAAGAAUAAAUUAUGUUGGACAAGUAAUUUUGUAGAAAAUUAAAAAACCAAUAAAUCAAAAUCUCUCAUCUUAACACCAAAGAAGAAAUUUUAAAAAUCAAAGAUUAGGUUAACAAUUAAAAACAAAAAGUCUCACUAAAAUGAAAAAAAAAAACCCAAAAUAUUUUAAUUAACAAAAUAGAUUAAGUAUUAAAAGUCAUUUUUAAGAUAGAAAACCCAAAUUGUAUCAAAAUUGAAAAAGUAUAAUUCAUAACAGAUGAAGAAAAAAUAAAGGAAACUGUCAAAUUAUUUUGCCCAAUUAUAUGCCAAUAAAACUGAUAACUUAGUUGAAAUGAAUGAAUAAUUAAAGAUAUAAAGUACUUAUUAACAUAAGAAUUAGAUUGUCUAGGUCAUUCAGAAUCAGAAGAAAUUGAAUUCUGUCAAACAAAAGAAUAAUUAAUUCUAGCAUUACAUAAACUGGAAAAAAUAGAAAAAGGAGGGAUCCUAUCAAACUCUUUUUAUGAUACAAAUAUAAUCUUGAUAUCUAAAGCAGGGAGAGACAAAGCAGAAAAAGAAAACUAUAAAUACUCUUUUUUUUUUUAACCCUUACAUUCCGUCUUGGAGUCAAUACUGUGUAUUGGCUCCAAGGUAGAAGAGGGGUAAGGGCUAGGCAAUGGGGGUCAAGUGACUUGCCCAGGGUCACACAGCUGGGAAGUGACUGAGGCCAGAUUUGAACCUAGGACCCCUGUCUCUGGGACUGGCUCUCAAUCCACUGAGCUACCCAGCUGCCCCCUAUAAAUACUCUUAAAGAACACUGAUGCUAAACUCUUAGUGAGGAGAAUACAAUAUAUUUAAAAGAUUUUGCAAUAUGACCAAGUUAGAGCUAUGCCAGAAAAACAGUAUUAAUUCAUUGUAAAGAAAACUAUAAAUAUAAUAGACCAUUUUAAUAACAAAAAAUGCUCCAAGCCCACAUGAUUAUAUCAUUAGAUGCUGAAAAGGCUUGUGACAAAAUUAACAUUUGUUUAUCACAAAUACUAAAAUCAUUGGAAUAAAUGAACUUUUCCUUUACAGGGUAAGUAUUCUUUAUUCAAGAACAAACAUAUGUAAUGGGAAAGACUUUGAGGGCUUUCCAAAGAAGAGAAAUAAAACAAGGAUGCCCGUUAUCAUAAUUAUGUACUAUGUUAUUAGAUAAAUUAAAGCAAUAAUCAAGAAAUAGAGGGAAUAAGCACAAACAAAGGGGAAAUGAACCUAUUUCUUUUGCAGAUGAUAAUGAUGAUCUACUUAUAGUAAAGAUUUUAAAAAAUUUUGAUGGGACCUUUUUUAAAAUUCAAAUUUAUUUUAUUUCCAUUUCCAAAUUCUCCCAUUCUCUCACUCAUGGAGAAAGAAAAAACAAAACCCAUUAUGAAUAUGUAUAGUCAUACAAAAUAAUUUCUUACAUUAGCCAUGAUAUCUUAAAAAAAAGAGAGAGAGAGAGAGAAGAAAAUAUGGUCCAGUCUGCUUUCUGAAUCCAUCAGCUUGUUUCAUUAUGAGUCUUGUGGUAUUGAUCAGAAUUCUUAAGUCUUUUAAAGUUGAAUUUACAAUAGUGUUACCAUUCUGUAUUCUCCUGACUUUAAACACUUUGCUUUGUAUCAGUUCAUAUGAGUCUUUCUAGAUUUUUCUUAAAUCAUCCCGUUCAUCAUUUCUUCUUUUGUUUUUU